rnacentral:lncRNA from 1 species
AAGCCCUUCUGCCCUCUCCCCACUGGCUGCUCCAGAGCUGGCUGUGUCCCAAGUGGAACUGCAGCUCCGAGAGUGUGGGCACCCGGAAGAACAAGGACUCUUCCUGUCCAAGGACCCCACACGCUGCUCCCUGACCCAGGUGCCAGCUGCUCGGUGUGGCAGGAGUCCUUGCAGCUGGCCCUGCCCAAUCCCUGGCACCACGGAGCUCUUUACCCAGCCUCCUGUCCAUGGUCCCUCACAUCCCCGGGAGACUGGGUCACUCGGUCCUUCUAUGGACAGAGGGCACCCGCGCCCCCCAGGCCCUUGAACUGCUCUCUGCUCCUAAAGCCAGCUCGGGAUCCCCUGCCCCUUCCCUGUCUCCACAGCCUCCCCCCACCAUUCCACCCAGCUCUCGGGCCCCCUCCACGGGUGCUAUGGUAUUCAGGGCUUCCUGGCAUUCCUCCCCUGCCCACCCUGCCCGCUAAAUAUACACCGAGGAGGAGUCGGGGAAGGAGCCUCCACAGCUACGAUGCACCCUUCCACCCCUGCAGCUGGGGCCCCCACUCAAGGAGCCCAGCCUGCUGCAGGCACGGGGGGACCCAGCCCCUAGCACCAGGCUGGGUCUCGGAGGAUAGGGCUCUGGGUUCAGGGCCCGCGGGGUGGAGACCAACUGUCCACCUCCCCCCUUACCCUCGGCACCCCCACAGUGCAGAGGGCAGAAACCGAGUCAAAGGAGAGCAAGCCGGGCUCCAGGCUCAGGGCAGCAGUCAGGCGAGUCCGGCCCUAACCUGCGUCCUCCAGGAAGAACUGAAGCGCGCACAGCUCCCCUUCAAAGAGAGUGCGCCCGCUGGGGCUGGGCCGCAAGACCCGCCAAGGAGCUGGGGCCUCCCCACGGAGAAGGAGGUGGUGUCUCCAUGGCAUCCCACCCACGCCAGACUGUCCCGCGGUCCCUGCUCGCGUGUAUACGGCCUCGCCGUCCAAGGGGCUCCAUGCUUCACUCAGAAACUGUAGUCUUGCUGUCUGGGGCACCCCUCCCCCGGGCCAGGGCUGCUGAACAGACCCCACACGAUCUCCCCAGAAGCCUGGUCCCUGUCCCCGGCAAGCUUCCCCUCCCCACCCUGCACGGGCAGCCCAUUCCCUAGCCUGAGCAUGGAGACCUGGAGGGAGCCUGGUCACCUUGUCAGGACCGGCACUCCGUGUCUGUGUGCCGAGCUCCUGUGAAACACGCUGGAGCAGGAGUAGACUGCGUGAGUCCCUUUCACUUGAGCAGCCUGCUCCCCUUUUUUGGGCCAUGUUACAUUUGGAAUGUGACCCCGAAAGUUAAUCCCCAAAGUCGUAUGUUAAUGGUACUUUGGAGGUGGGAGCUUUGGCAGGUGCCUGGGAUUAGAUGAGCUCAGGAGGGGGUUCAUGGCUUUCUGACGAGUGGAG